UACGGAGGGUGCAAGCGUUAUCCGGAUUCACUGGGCUUAAAGGGUGCGUAGGAGGACAGGUAAGUCAGUGGUGAAAUCUCCGAGCUUAACUUGGAAACUGCCGUUGAUACUAUCUGCCUUGAAUAUUGUGGAGGUGAGCGGAAUAUGUCAUGUAGCGGUGAAAUGCUUAGAUAUGACAUAGAACACCAAUUGCGAAGGCAGCUCGCUACACAUAUAUUGACUCUGAGGCACGAAAGCGUGGGGAUCAAACAGG
rnacentral:rRNA from 1 species